UGCAAAUUAGUAAACAAGUCUCAAAGCUAGGAUCAAGCUCCAUUUAUCAGGUGGCGGGUUCUUAGGAUUAGAUAGUUUUCCCCAAGUUAUGAUUUUGCAUGCCAAAACACUAAGAAUUAGGAUCAAUUGUGUAUGAGAGGAGCUUAAUCCCAAAGUUUCUCUCCAUUUUAAUUAUGUAUUAUAUGUUGUAAGGUUCAUGGUAGAAAGAAAAUGGAAUUAUGGUGAGAAUUUAUGUGAAUACCGAUGAAAAAUAUGAAACGAACAAGAUAAUAAUUGUGAUACACAUUUAUGAUUUUAUGUUAUAUUAUGAAUUAUGUUAUGAAAAUUAUGUUAUGGACUGACAUUCAGGUACCUCGGUGUAGUCACGGUUAGUUGGAUAGUAGAACUCACUGAAGCUUAGUAGUCUCAUCCCACGCUUAUUAUUUUUUUAAAGAUAAGCAAGGUUCUCGUAGUAAGCUUGCAGAGGAGUAGUUGUUGCAGCUAGAUGCUUAAUGUUCCGGACUUUAUUGUCUAUGAUGUCUAUUAUGCUUUCAUGUCAUGUUCUUUCCGUUCAAGUUUUAUCGGUAUCAGACUUAUGUAUCUAGCACCUAUAUGUGCACAUCAAACUCCUUAUGUAUUGUAAUCUUUAUGUAUUCCGUACUUAAUUAUGAAUGCUCUAGCUAUAUUCUAGACUAUUUAGCAUUGAGUGUUAUAGAUUCAAUCUCCGUUUUAUCUCAUACUUAGGGCACCCACAUCGGUGCACUUGUACCGUGUUUUCACAGAAACCAAAACCCAUGUGUCACAGGCACACCUAUAAUUCAUCCAUAAAUAACGUG
rnacentral:lncRNA from 1 species